UUUCUUCAGUGCUGCCAUUCCAUUGGAGAUUGCAGUAGAAUCUCCUUCCAUGCUAGUCGCCAUGCUGGACUAAGUCCUCUGGUUGUGCUUCCUGUCAUCAGGUGUCAUCCCAUCCAGAUGUCUGCAAGGACAAGAUCUUUCAGAUGCUUUGACCUGGACAGUUUGGCUUCAUCUUGAACACCCUUUGACUUCAAAGAUUUAAUCACAAUCAUGAGUCAGGUUGGGCUUUCCAAGAAGACUGACAGAAUCUAAGAGAAACAACUCUUUCCCCUGCACAAGAAGCUAGUAACAUCAUGCCUGUUGCUAACUCAGAUCAAGCGGGUGGUGUUUUAGUGUUUGCAUUUUCGAAAAUGGGCUGCUUA